GGGAAACUUACCAGGUCAAAACAUGGGUGGGAUUGACAGAUUGAUAGCUUUUUCUUGAUUCUGCGGGUGGUGGUGGUGGUGCAUGGCCGUUCUUAGUUGGUGGAGUGAUUUGUCUGGUUAAUUCCGUUAACGAACGAGACCUUAACCUGCUAACUAGUCUUCUGGUUACUCACUGGUUCGACUUCUUAGAGGGACUAUGCGAUUCAAGCGCAUGGAAGUUUGAGGCAAUAA
rnacentral:rRNA from 1 species